rnacentral:rRNA from 1 species
UGUCCCUAGUACGAGAGGACCGGGACGGACGAACCUCUGGUGUGCCAGUCGUUCUGCCAAGGGCGUGGCUGGUUGGCUAUGUUCGGGAGGGAUAACCGCUGAAAGCAUCUAAGCGGGAAGCCUGUUCCUAGAUGAGGUCUCCCACCCUUUGUGGGUUAAGGCCCCCAAGAGAUGAUUGGGUUGACAGGCCAGAUAUGGAAGCACUGUAAGGUGUGGAGUUGACUGGUGCUGAUAGGCCGAGGACUUGCUCAC